AUACUUACCCAGCAGAGGAGAUAGCAUGAUCACCAAGGUGGUUUUCCCAAGGCAAGGCUUAUCCGUUGCACUCCGGAUGUGCUAAGCCUCCCCCAAAUGUGGGAAACUCAACUGCAGAAUUUGUGGUAGUGGUGAGACUGCUUUCACUAUCCCCUC
ensembl:snRNA U1 U1 spliceosomal RNA